rnacentral:lncRNA from 1 species
AGAAACCACAGUGGAGGUGUACGACCGAUGAUGGAUGACAUAUACAAGUUUCAGUAGAUUGUCUAUCGCUAAAUUUCGGCAAUUAUCCGCUACGAGAAGGAAGAACUGGCCCAAUGGAUGUCAGUUAGGAAUGCUUUCUGUCGUGAGAACGAAAAUGAAACUGAAAAAAGUCAACAGUCCAAAACUCCCUAAACUCUCAUUCGUCAUAGUCUGGCAGGAAAGUUUCAACAUUUCAGUUCCCCCGGGGGUGGAGGAUAAAAAAUAACAACUUCCGGAAAUAGAGACUAGACUUACUUUCGGCAGUUUAGAUGAUACGAGUCGGUGUGACAAGUUCAAACAAAAAGUCGUGUUAGCUUUCUCUUUUCUUUUUUUUUUUAUCGUCUUUUUAUUUUCUCCUGAUUGAUAUCGAAUGUUAAAAAAGGAUUGAUGCCGUAAUACUGUAACAGCGUUGAAAAAGUUGAAGUGUUUUAUUUUCAAUUUGGAUCUCUCUGUUAGAUAGCGAUGUACUUCCUACAACUAAUUUACUUCCUUUAUUUUUUAAAAUCAAAUCGGCC